AACGAACGCUGGCGGCAGGCUUAACACAUGCAAGUCGAACGCAUCCUUCGGGGUGAGUGGCAGACGGGUGAGUAACGCGUGGGAACGUGCCCUUCAGUUCGGGAUAACCCAGGGAAACUUGGGCUAAUACCGGAUACGUGCGAGAGCAGAAAGAUUUAUCGCUGAAGGAUCGGCCCGCGUCUGAUUAGCUAGCUGGUGGGGUAAUGGCCCACCAAGGCGACGAUCAGUAGCUGGUCUGAGAGGAUGAUCAGCCACAUUGGGACUGAGACACGGCCCAAACUCCUACGGGAGGCAGCAGUGGGGAAUAUUGGACAAUGGGCGCAAGCCUGAUCCAGCCAGGCCGCGUGAGUGAUGAAGGCCUUAGGGUUGUAAAGCUCUUUCGUCCGGGACGAUAAUGACGGUACCGGAAGAAGAAGCCCCGGCUAACUUCGUGCCAGCAGCCGCCGUAA
rnacentral:rRNA from 1 species